rnacentral:rRNA from 1 species
UACGUAGGGGGCGAGCGUUGUCCGGAGUUACUGGGCGUAAAGGGCAUGCAGGCGGUCGGACGCGUUUUGUGUGACAGCGGGUGGCUCAACUACGCGAGCAUACGAAAGACGGUUUGACUUGAGGGCUCGAGAGGGACACGGAAUCCGGGUGGAGUGGUGAAAUGCGUAGAGAUCCGGAGGAACACCGAAGGCGAAGGCAGU